CCUACGGGUGGCUGCAGUGAGGAAUAUUGGUCAAUGGGCGCGAGCCUGAACCAGCCAAGUAGCGUGAAGGAUGACUGCCCUACGGGUUGUAAACUUCUGUUAUAAAGGAAUAAAGUGAGGCACGUGUGCCUUUUUGUAUGUACUUUAUGAAUAAGGAUCGGCUAACUCCGUGCCAGCAGCCGCGGUAAUACGGAGGAUCCGAGCGUUAUCCGGAUUUAUUGGGUUUACAGGGAGCGUAGAUGGGUUGUUAAGUCAGUUGUGAAAGUUUGCGGCUCAACCGUAAAAUUGCAAUUGAUACGGGCAGCCUUGAGUACAGUUGAGGUCGGCGGAUUUCGUGGUGUAGCGG
rnacentral:rRNA from 1 species